rnacentral:lncRNA from 1 species
UGCCGCUGGUGUACCUUUUAGAAAUGAUAGUUUUAGUAGUUUUAUAAAUUUAGACUUUAUUUGUUCUGAUUUUUAAGUUACCAACACAUGUAGUCUAUCUUCUCGUAGCCCUUCAAACUCUCACCAGUUAACAAAAGGGGUGUGAAAAGAAACACAAAAGUAAAAUACAUGCACCUGUUUUGGCAUGUUGCACAGUUGCAGACAGACAAUAACUUUUUAUUUGAACUUAGAACGAAGAAAAUUCACUCCAAAAGUUGUAUCAUUGAGACGUUGGAUAGAAAAUAAAGUUAUGUAGUGGUUGGAUUAUGUGAGAAAUAGAUAAAACUGGAUUCUUACGUACAUGUUCUUUCAAUACUUAAGCUAGGAAACUGGGGGAUUGGUUUGACCAAUAUAAAAAUGGUGCAAAUGUAAAGGUAUGCUCAGUUAGAACAAAUUAACUUCUCUCCAAAGCUGAGACAGGAAGAGUGGACCAGAAUUAUCUUGGUAUCAUUGAGAUGUUGAAUAGAAAAUGAAGUUAUGUAGUGUUUGGAUUAUGUGAAAGUAGAUAAAACUGGAUUCUUACUUACGUGUUCUUCCAAGACUUUAGUUAGGAAAUUGGGGGAUUGGUUUUACCAAUAUAAAAAUGAUGCAAAUAUAAAUGUAUGCUCGGUUAACAUGUGAAGAGUACUUUUCUUACCUUUUCUGAUCAGAGAUGAGGUGAUGUGAAAGUAGAUAAAACUGGAUUCUUACUUACGUGUUCUUCCAAGACUUUAGUUAGGAAAUUGGGGGAUUGGUUUUACCAAUAUAAAAAUGAUGCAAAUAUAAAUGUAUGCUCGGUUAACAUGUGAAGAGUACUUUUCUUACCUUUUCUGAUCAGAGAUGAGGUGAAUUAAGCCAAACAAGAAAAAGAGUCAGAAAUACCAAUACAUGAUGUUUCAAUAUUUUUCUUUUACUUCAGGUUUAAGCCAAGGCCUCUCUUACAUGAUAUUGCUGUUUCUAGUAAAUGAAAUGUUUUUCUUAUAACAGCUGGAGUCGCAACAUCUCAUAACAUUACACAUACAUGUUUUGGAGAAAAAAGAAAAAUGUUAGACUUCGUUAAUAUGGUAGCACAGAACAAGAUUUGUUUUUAUGAC